AGAAUAAAGCGCCUGAGCCUUUUUGUUACCCCCAUUAUGAAUCCAAUCGGUGCUUGCCGCGGGGCAAAGAGGAUGACGAGGAUGGAAGCUGAUCGAAUUUCGGCGGAUGCUUCCCGGCUUGACAGAGAAGCCGCCGGACGGUGUACAAAAACGCGGGCAACCGCGCGACAGAA
rnacentral:ncRNA from 1 species